AGAGUUUGAUCCUGGCUCAGAACGAACGCUGGCGGCGCGUUUUAAGCAUGCAAGUCGAGGGGGUUUACUUUAGCAAUAGAGUGAAUCACCGGCGCACGGGUGAGUAACACGUGGGGAUCUACCUUGAGAUGGGGGAUAGUCCGUGGAAACACGGGGUAAUACCGCAUAUGCCGGGAGGUGAAAGGGGCUUUUGUCCCGUCUUAAGAUGAACCUGCGGUCCAUUAGCUAGUUGGCAGGGUAAAAGCCUACCAAGGCGACGAUGGAUAGCCGGCCUGAGAGGGUGUACGGCCACAUUGGAACUGAGACACGGUCCAGACUCCUACGGGAGGCAGCAGCUAAGAAUAUUCCGCAAUGGGAGAUAUCCUGACGGAGCGACGCCGCGUGAACGAAGAAGGCAGAAAUGUUGUAAAGUUCUUUUAUACGGGAAGAAUAAUGGCAGGAGUGGAAAGUUUGCCUGAUGACGGUACCGUAUGAAUAAGCCACGGCUAACUACGUGCCAGCAGCCGCGGUAAUACGUAGGUGGCAAGCGUUGUUCGGAAUUAUUGGGCGUAAAGGGCAUGUAGGCGGUAAGAUAAGUGUGAAUUGAAAGACUGAGGCUUAACCUCACGUUUGGUUUGUAAACUGUCUAACUAGAGUGCAGAAGGGGAAACUGGAAUUCCGCGUGUAGGGGUGAAAUCUGUAGAUAUGCGGAAGAAUACCUGUGGCGAANGCGAGUUUCUGGUCUGUAACUGACGCUGAAAUGCGAAAGUGUGGGGAGCAAACAGGAUUAGAUACCCCUGGUAGUC
rnacentral:rRNA from 1 species